rnacentral:rRNA from 1 species
GACGAACGCUGGCGGCGUGCUUAACACAUGCAAGUCGAACGGAAAGGCCCUGCUUGCAGGGUACUCGAGUGGCGAACGGGUGAGUAACACGUGGGUGAUCUGCCCUGCACUUCGGGAUAAGCCUGGGAAACUGGGUCUAAUACCGGAUAGGAGCCAUUUUUAGUGUGAUGGUUGGAAAGUUUUUUCGGUGUAGGAUGAGCUCGCGGCCUAUCAGCUUGUUGGUGGGGUAAUGGCCUACCAAGGCGGCGACGGGUAGCCGGCCUGAGAGGGUGGACGGCCACAUUGGGACUGAGAGACGGCCCAGACGCCGACGGGAGGCAGCAGGGGGGAAUAUUGCACAAUGGGCGCAAGCCUGAUGCAGCGACGCCGCGUGGGGGAUGACGGCCUUCGGGUUGUAAACUCCUUUCGCGAGGGACGAAGCUUUUUGUGACGGUACCUAGAUAAGAAGCACCGGCUAACUACGUG